rnacentral:rRNA from 1 species
UACGUAGGAGGCAAGCGUUGUCCGGAUUUACUGGGCGUAAAGCGCGCGCAGGCGGCAGAUCAAGUAAGGUGUGAAAUCUCCCUGCUCAACGGGGAGGGUGCACUUUAGACUGGUCAGCUAGAGGUCGGUAGAGGGGGGUGGAAUUGCUGGUGUAGCGGUGAAAUGCGUAGAGAUCAGCAGGAACACCCGUGGCGAAGGCGGCCCCCUGGGCCGUACCUGACGCUGAGGCGCGAAGGCUAGGGGAGCGAACGGG